rnacentral:sRNA from 1 species
ACACGAGAAGGGAGGUGGUCCAAGCUUUGUAUGCACAUAGGACUCGUGAGGUGACUGUCCGCUAGCCGGUCUCGUGGUCCUCACCCUCUUGCCGGGUGGCCCUCGGGCACCGGCACCGGCGAGUACCAGGCAGACACCGGACCCCCGGGUGCCGUCGAUCAGUCCCGACGGCCCAUCCCUCCCAUCCUGGGCGGGGUGGAGCACCCGGGGGUCACUGCUU